rnacentral:rRNA from 1 species
GCGUGGGUGAAGAAGGCCUUAGGGUUGUAAACCCCUUUCAGCGGGGAAGAUAAUGACGGUACCCGCAGAAGAAGCCCCGGCUAACUCCGUGCCAGCAGCCGCGGUAAUACGGAGGGGGCUAGCGUUGUUCGGAAUUACUGGGCGUAAAGCGCGCGUAGGCGGAUUCGCAAGUCAGGGGUGAAAUCCCGAGGCUCAACCUCGGAACUGCCUUUGAUACUGCGAAUCUUGAGUCCGAGAGAGGUGAGUGGAAUUCCUAGUGUAGAGGUGAAAUUCGU